AUGUAAUGCCUACAAUGUUAAUGCGUCAGAUCCCAUUAUAACUCCACAAUUAAGUGCACUUGGGAUAGAGUAGUACUUGGAUGGGUGAACCAUCAGGAAGUCUUAGUGUUUUACACA
rnacentral:rRNA from 1 species